CCGUUAGCUCAGUUGGUAGAACGGUUGAUUUUUAAUCAGUAGAUCAUAUGUUCGAGUUGGAACAAACUAACUUCAUAUACUACGUG
rnacentral:tRNA from 1 species